GACGCCAUAGGCAAUCGGAUUGUUGUAGAUCAUGAUCGGAAGCGAGCUGGC
rnacentral:sRNA from 1 species